GAUGGAGGGUACGAACAAGAUAUCAGCUCAAUCUAGGGUUUUCGAUUGAAAACUCUAGAGACCUGCUUCUUGAAGAAGAUGAAUUUAAUCGAAUCUCUUCCAAGGCUUCUCGAACAAGAUGAAUUGAAUCAAAUCUCUAUCAAGGUAUAAAGCUCAAAGCUAGUUUAUUAAUUAUCAAAAGCGUAUCUUACAAAAGUCAUAAGAGAGUUCUUUAUAUAGAACUCUUAAACCGUCAUUAAAAUCCUUAACCUAAUAGAAAAGGCAAAACAUAAACCCUAAGUAAAAAGGAAAUAACUUGAAAAGGAAACUUGACGUUGAAGCUACUCGGAUGCUGCUGCAUCAGGUCCCCCGGGGUGAAGAGGAUUCGACCGCGAAUCAGAGGGCUGCUCGGGAGGAAAAUAGCGAGAGAGAUACUUGACAUUAAAAACAUCAGAAGUAGUUAUAUCAGCGGGAAGUUGGAGACGAUAAGCAUUGUCAUUGAUACGCUCAAGAACCUCCAAAGGACCAAUCUUCUUUGCUUUUAACUUGUUAUACGAGUGUGCAGGCAUACGAUCUCUAGUAAGAACUGCCCAGACCAAAUCACCGACCUCAAAUACGAGACGCCGUCUAUGGGUGUCUGCCGCAGCUUUAUAUUUUUGAGUCGAUGUCUCCAAGUUGGAUGUAGUUUGUUCGUGUGUCUCGAGCACGUUCUCCAUAAAUGCUUCAGCUCCAUCGUGAAGACGAACACGAUCGGGCAAAGUGGAGAGGUCUAGCGGAGCACGAGGAACGAUUCCAUAAAUGAUCUGAAACGGACUGAACUUCGAGCUUCGGUUAACGGCGUGGUUAUGGGCAAACUCAGCCUGGGGAAGCUUUGAAUCCCAUGACUUGAUGGAUGAUCCGACCAAGCUGCGUAGUAAGUUACCAAGAGAACGAUUCGUGACCUCUGUUUGGCCGUCAGUUUGAGGAUGAUACGCAGAACUCAUAUCAAGACUUGUAUCGAAGAGCUUCCAUAAUGAGCGCCAAAAGUGACUAAGAAAGCGAGAAUCUCUGUCGGAGACAAUCGACAAUGGUAAUCCAUGAAGCCGGUACACCUCUCGGAAGAACAAAGUGGCGACUUCAACUGCAUCAGUUGUACGUUUGCAGGGUAUAAAGUGAACCAUUUUUGAAAAUCGAUCUACCACGACAAAAAUUGAAUCGAACCCUUUUUGAGUCCGAGGCAAUCCCAUGACAAAAUCCAUACUAAUAUCUGUCCACGGUUGAGUUGGUAUUGGUAAAGGAAGGUACAAACCAGCAUUGGAAGCUUGACCUUUGGACGUUUGACAAGUAACACAACGCUCCACAAAACGUUCCACGUCUCUUCGCAGCGCCGGCCAGAAAUACGACGCAGAAACAAGGUGAAGGGUUCGAUCUCGUCCGAUGUGACCUUCAUUAUGCAGCUCGGAAAUAAGUCGCAACCGAAGACUACAAUCAGGAACACAAAGACGGUUUUCCCGGAAUAAGAAACCAUCAUGGAUCGAGUACGGUAAGGAUGGACCAGCAGAAACGGCAGUCCAAAUUGGGCCAAAAAACUUAUCGGUCGGGUAUAGGUCCAUAAACGAACUAAAUCCAGGGACCGAGACAUGAAGGACGGAGAGGAGAGAGUGUCGACGACUCAGGGCGUCAGCUACGCGGUUGCUAGUUCCCGAGGUGUGCUUGAUCACGAAUGUAAACUGUUGUAGAUAGGCGAUCCAAGAGGCAUGUCGAGCAGAUACUUUAUCUUGAGUGCUAAGAUGCUUUAGGGCGUCAUGAUCAGUGUAAAGUACAAAUUCCUUGUGGAACAAGUAAUGCCUCCAGUGCUUGAUUGCUUGCACAAUAGCAUAGAACUCGAUGUCGUACGUACUAUAACGAAAACGCGCACCAGAUAUCUUCUCGCUAAAGAAUGCGAUCGGCCGGUUUCGUUGGCUAAGGACAGCGCCAAUCCCACUUUUAGACGCGUCGCAGUGGAGUUCAAAUACCGCCGUAAAGUCUGGUAAAGCCAAGAUAGGUGCUGAACUAAGUUUGUCUUUGAUGAUGUUGAAAGCAGUAGUAGCAGCCGGUGUCCAUAAAAAAGCUCCCUCGCGAAUACAGUUAGUCAAAGGUGCCAUGAUAGCACUAAACUGAGGAACAAAACGUCGAUAAAAAGAUGCAAGCCCAUGAAAGCUCCGUGCUUCGGUGAUAGUAUGUGGUUCUGGCCAAGUCUUGAUGGCGGAUACUUUUGCAGGGUCGACGGAAAGGCCCUUCUCUGAAACAAUGUAUCCCAAGAAGUGGACGUGUGCGGAACCGAAAGCACAUUUUUUUAGUGUUGCAAAAAGUUUAUCUCGUCGAAGAACAAGGAGGACUUCCCGCAGGUGUAUCAUAUGAUCCUCCAUGGUGAGGCUGAAGAUUAAGAUAUCAUCGAAGUAAACAACACCGAAUUUGCCAAUGAAGGGACGAAGAGCCUGAUUCAUCACUCUCAUAAACGUGCUUGGUGCGUUAGAUAAGCCAAACGGCAUUACCGUCCACUCAAAAAGUCCUUCACGGGUUUUGAAAGCUGUUUUCCAUUCAUCUCCUUCACGAAUACGAAUCUGGUGGUAACCGCUUUUUAAAUCCAGCUUAGAGAAUAUCCUUGCUGUCCCGAUUUGAUCAAGAAGGUCAUCCAGGCGAGGAAUUGGGAAACGAUAUCGAACGGUUAUUUUAUUCACCGCACGACUAUCCACACACAUACGCCACGAACCAUCCUUCUUUGGAACUAAUAGGGCUGGAACGGCGCAAGGACUCAUGCUCUCCCGUAAGAAACCUCGAGUAAUUAGUUCUUCAACUUGCUUUCGUAGUUCCUCAUGUUCUGUUGGACUCAUUCGAUAGUGCGCACGGUUAGGGAGAUUAGCAUCAGGGAUAAAGUCUAUUUGGUGUUGAAUAUCUCACAGUGGUGGUAAUCCCGGAGGGAGAUCGUUUGGAAAAACGUCCUCAAAUUCUUUAACGAUGGCUUGAAACUCUGGUCGAGUUUUAUUGUCAAGAAGUGGCGACGAUGGCGUUGCCGUUAAGAUAAAAACUAUAUCUUCUUCGCGCAUUGCCGCUUCGAAUGGUGUCUUGUGUAGAAGUAAAAGAGGGUUAGAUGAGUCUGUAGGACGUGCUGGAGAGGGAGUUGUAGGUGAUGAUGAUGACGGUAGUGAAGGUUUAAGGGUGAAGGUUCGAUUGUUGAAUGUGAAAGUAUAGGUGUUUAGGAAUCCGUCGUGUACUAUCCUUCGGUCGAACUCCCAUGGACGUCCGAGAAGCAAAUGACAUGCAUCCAUUGGAGCAAUGUCACAGUAAAUUGUGUCACGAUAUGUAUCACCAAUAGAGAAGGUGACCAAAGCUCGACGAGUGACCAGGAGAUCGUGAGUUUGCUGUAACCAGGCGAGUUUAUACGGAGCCGGGUGCUGUUCAUCUUUGAGUGCGAGCUUGGUUACGGCGUCCGCGGCAAUAACGUUUUCACUACUACCAGAGUCGAUAAUCAGUUUACAUACUUUCCCUUCGAUGGUGCAGCGAGAGUGAAAUAAAUUAUUACGCUGGGGGAAGUCGUUGCUGCUGCGUGGUGCUAGGCAAGAACGGUGCAACAUUAGACAAACACCAGUAUCGGGUUCUAAUUCCUCAGGUUCGUCAUAGAUAGGUUCAUUGAACUCAAUCUCAACAUCACGGCCUGAAGAGUCAAGCAAGAGGCCUCGUUGAUUUCGAUGGGGGCAAGCCGCCUGCCUGUGCCCAGCUUCGCCGCAGGCGAAACAUCGCAAGGUACCUGUGCGGGCUGGUCGUGACGUAUCAACGGGAACAAUGGCUGCCGAGGGUGUGGCCGCGAGUGGUGCCGAUGUUGUAGCUGUUGGAGUUGUGACCUGUGAUGUGCGCUGUUGUCGAGUGGAAUUCCACGGAGUGGAGGUCGCUUUGUUUUGUGCUUCGACGGUUAAAGCCUGUUGAUGAGCUUCUGAGAGCGUGAUAGGAUUAAACAGGUUCAACGUAUGCUGAAUUUGUUGUCGAAGACCACCGAUGAAACGGGCGACUAGUUGCCUAUCUGAAUCAUGAAGAUCAAUUCUGUUUAAUAACAAGAAAAAUUCAGUGGCAUAUUCUUCUACCGUACGGCUUCCUUGACGGAGAUGUUGUAGUCGUUGAAAUAUUAACUGGUCGUAGUUAUAAGGUAGGAACGUCUUUCGCAUAUGUUUCUUCAAUUUAUCCCAUGUCUCGAUUUUAGGUUUGCCUAAACGAAGUCUGGAUGACUUAAGUUGAGUCCACCACGCGGUUGCUCUGCUGCGAAACCGCAUCGCAAGGACAGGGACACAUUGGUCAAGCGGAACAUGCUUAAAUUCUAGUAUUUCGUCUACUGUGGCGAUCCAGUCAAGGAGAUCUUCCGCGACCUGGUUGCCAUGGAACUCUGGUAUUUCGAAUUUAAAGCUCCGAUCCCAUUGGUCAUGAGGUUGAGCUGGUUGAGCUCUUGGUCGAUUUUCUCCAAGAAUCGCGAAUGGGUUAGCAUCGUCUUCGUGAUCGGAUUGGUCAUCUUCUCGUUCUUCUACUGGUGCGGCGGCUGGUGCGUUACGUUGAGCUAGCAGACCGUGCAUUGCUUGAGUAAGUUGAGCAAGUUGUGUCUGCAUCUCUUCCAUGGUGCGUUGUGUGAUCUCAGCUUGGGUUUCUUUUUUGGCGCGGGGCAUGGUGACGAACGAAGGUUGUGGGCGCGGAGUGCGGGUGGUGAUGGUUUUGCUCUGAUACCAACCUGAUGGAGGGUACGAACAAGAUAUCAGCUCAAUCUAGGGUUUUCGAUUGAAAACUCUAGAGACCUGCUUCUUGAAGAAGAUGAAUUUAAUCGAAUCUCUUCCAAGGCUUCUCAAACAAGAUGAAUUGAAUCAAAUCUCUAUCAAGGUAUAAAGCUCAAAGCUAGUUUAUUAAUUAUCAAAAGCGUAUCUUACAAAAGUCAUAAGAGAGUUCUUUAUAUAGAACUCUUAAACCGUCAUUAAAAUCCUUAACCUAAUAGAAAAGGCAAAACAUAAACCCUAAGUAAAAAGGAAAUAACUUGAAAAGGAAACUUGACGUUGAAGCUACUCGGAUGCUGCUGCAUCAAAGAGUCAGGUUAAUGUUCCAGCCCAUUUGAUUGCGAAAAGUGUAAUAUUUAAGUUUUUCUCUCAAUUAUAUGUAGCUCGUAGCUUUCCUCGUUGGUUCUCCUCUUCUUUUUUUUGGUUGAGG
rnacentral:lncRNA from 1 species